UUAGAGGAAGUAAAAGUCGUAACAAGGUUUCCGUAGGUGAACCUGCGGAAGGAUCAUUAAUCAGUGGAUCCGGCGGGGAAUCCCCUCUCCCCCGAGAGGGGGUCGCCUCGCCGGGUAGACCUCCACCCGUGCUUACCUACUCUUGUUGCUUUGGCGGGCCGUGGCCUCCACUACGGGCUCUGCUCGUACGUGCCCGCCAGAGGACCAAACUCUGAAUAUUAGUGAUGUCUGAGAACUAUUUAAUAGUUAAAACUUUCAACAACGGAUCUCUUGGUUCUGGCAUCGAUGAAGAACGCAGCGAAAUGCGAUAAGUAAUGUGAAUUGCAGAAUUCAGUGAAUCAUCGAAUCUUUGAACGCACAUUGCGCCCUGUGGUAUUCCGCAGGGCAUGCCUGUUCGAGCGUCAUUUAGACCACUCACGCCUGGCGUGGUGUUGGGGCACGCGGUUCCGCGGCCCUCAAAAUCAGUGGCGGCGCCGGUAGGCCCUAAGCGUAGUAAAUCUCCUCGCUAUAGGGUCCUCUCGGUGGCUCGCCAGAACCCCCAACUUCUUAAGGUUGACCUCGGAUCAGGUAGGGAUACCCGCUGAACUUAAGCAUAUCAAUAAGCGGAGGA
rnacentral:rRNA from 1 species